AUGCAUCUAAAACCAUCGCAGACAUAUUUCAAACGACGUGCAGUGUUUCAUUCAACACUCCUGGUAUUCGCUUUCAGGGUGAGUAUGACUCCACGUGCCAUGUACAACAGUUUUGCAUACUGCUUAUUACAAACCAACAUAUUUGCAUCUCAUGUGUCUAAAAUUACUUUUUCACUUUUUUGUUUACUUGGGUUGUUAGAAGACGGCAAGGAUGUGGAAUUUUCUGUGCGGGAAGUAAAUAAAUCUCAUCUCCUGUACACGUCAAAGAAGUACGUGAAUGGAUUGUUUGUGUGUGUGAUGGUUGGACGGAAUUGCAGCGAGACACUGGACUCACUCAGGGCAAACAUUACAGCUUACAAUAAGAAAUGGCCUUCCAUCGAGUCUACGACAACCAUCUGCAGUGUCUCCUGUUUCAGCACCUCUGAACAUUGCAGGACAUCCGCAUAUGAUGAAGGGGUCUGCAAAAACGCCAAAAACCAAGAUAAGUUCCUCAUCAACGUAACAGCACCAGGGAGCUUGUGUGUCAACUGUAAUGAACCAUUCAGAAAUAUAUAUUAAAGAGAAAUGCUGUGUUUGUUUUUUUUUACAUAUCUUCUUAGACGCCAAAAACCAAGAUAAGUUCCUCAUCAACGUAACAGCACCAGGGAGCGUGUGUGUCAACUGUAAUGAACCAUUCAAAGACCCUGUGGGAAAGUUGCCUCCUCCAGCGAUCUUUGACACGGGAAGUGGAGUUCACAUCGAUGGUGAAAAGGCUUCGUAAGAAUUACUCAAUCAUAUUUAUUAUUAUUAUUAUUAUUAUUAUUAUGUCAUUCAUAGGGCCAGUUUCCUGGACAAAGAUGACACCUAGUCCAGGACUAUAAAACAUGUUCAAUGGAGAUUAUCCAUUGAAAGUGGUUUCUAGGUCCAAGAUUAGGUUUAAUCGCUGGUCGGGAAUCCACCCCU
rnacentral:lncRNA from 1 species